AGUGAACGCUGGCGGUAGGCCUAACACAUGCAAGUCGAACGGCAGCACAGUAAGAGCUUGCUCUUACGGGUGGCGAGUGGCGGACGGGUGAGGAAUACAUCGGAAUCUACUUUUUCGUGGGGGAUAACGUAGGGAAACUUACGCUAAUACCGCAUACGACCUACGGGUGAAAGCAGGGGAUCUUCGGACCUUGCGCGAUUGAAUGAGCCGAUGUCGGAUUAGCUAGUUGGCGGGGUAAAGGCCCACCAAGGCGACGAUCCGUAGCUGGUCUGAGAGGAUGAUCAGCCACACUGGAACUGAGACACGGUCCAGACUCCUACGGGAGGCAGCAGUGGGGAAUAUUGGACAAUGGGCGCAAGCCUGAUCCAGCCAUGCCGCGUGGGUGAAGAAGGCCUUCGGGUUGUAAAGCCCUUUUGUUGGGGAAGAAAAGCAGCAGGUUAAUACCCCGCUGUUCUGACGUUACCCAAAGAAUAAGCACCGGCUAACUUCGUG
rnacentral:rRNA from 1 species